CGCACAUUGCGCCCGCUAGUAUUCUGGCGGGCAUGCCUGUUCGAGCGUCAUUUCAACCCUCAGGACUCUUCGGAGAACUGGUGUUGGGGAUCAGCGUAGGCGCGGGGUUACACCCGCCAGCUGGCCCUGAAAUACAGUGGCGGUCUUGCUCUGACUCCCUCGCGUAGUAACUUACCUCGCUUGUGAAAAUUAGCCUGACCACGCCGUAAAACCCCCUACUUUUUUAUGGUUGACCUCGAAUCAGGUAGGAAUACCCGCUGAACUUAA
rnacentral:misc_RNA from 1 species